rnacentral:lncRNA from 1 species
UUAAAUGAUAUAUUUUUAUUUAUAAAACACAAGUAAAUAUAACAAUAUCAAAAGAUAUUGUAUUAAUAAAAAUCCUUUUAUAUUUAAGAAGCUUUGUAUAUAAGACUUUUUAAAGCAUCUAGAAAUGGCCUAAUAUUCUUUGCUAUACCAAAUCAUAACUAACUAUUUGUCAGUAAGUUAGAUUUCUAAUAAACUCAAAGAAAAU